rnacentral:rRNA from 1 species
GGCUCAGGACGAACGCUGGCGGCGUGCUAAUACAUGCAGUCGAGCGGACAGAUGGGAGCUUGCUCCCUGAUGUUAGCGGCGGACGGGUGAGUAACACGUGGGUAACCUGCCUGUAAGACUGGGAUAACUCCGGGAAACCGGGGCUAAUACCGGAUGGUUGUUUGAACCGCAUGGUUCAAACAUAAAAGGUGGCUUCGGCUACCACUUACAGAUGGACCCGCGGCGCAUUAGCUAGUUGGUGAGGUAACGGCUCACCAAGGCAACGAUGCGUAGCCGACCUGAGAGGGUGAUCGGCCACACUGGGACUGAGACACGGCCCAGACUCCUACGGGAGGCAGCAGUAGGGAAUCUUCCGCAAUGGACGAAAGUCUGACGGAGCAACGCCGCGUGAGUGAUGAAGGUUUUCGGAUCGUAAAGCUCUGUUGUUAGGGAAGAACAAGUACCGUUCGAAUAGGGCGGUACCUUGACGGUACCUAACCAGAAAGCCACGGCUAACUACGUGCCAGCAGCCGCGGUAAUACGUAGGUGGCAAGCGUUGUCCGGAAUUAUUGGGCGUAAAGGGCUCGCAGGCGGUUUCUUAAGUCUGAUGUGAAAGCCCCCGGCUCAACCGGGGAGGGUCAUUGGAAACUGGGGAACUUGAGUGCAGAAGAGGAGAGUGGAAUUCCACGUGUAGCGGUGAAAUGCGUAGAGAUGUGGAGGAACACCAGUGGCGAAGGCGACUCUCNGUCUGUAACUGACGCUGAGGAGCG